AUUAUAGACUUUAUAUAUUGCAAAUCUUUAUUUAUUUAUUUUUUUUGCAAUUGUGAGCUUAUAUUUCACAACUAUGAGUUAAAAAGUUACAACCAUCGUUUUAAUUGUUUUAAUCUCGGUUUGGAAAUGAGCUUCUGUACGGAACUAAACUUUGUGAGGAAUAGUGUGUGUUUGGCGUGACACAAUGGCAACAGUGGGAGAGUUCUGACAGUCAUAAUGGUUCAGAGAACAAGCUCCUGUACUCAGCGCUUGUCUUUGAGUGCUAAUGCUAAGAAUAGAAGUGUCCAGCUCAAAGCCAUGACCCAUAGCCCCAGAGCAGAGGGAUUGAGGCCAAAGAACCUCUUAGAAAGUUGCACGAUUAGCACUCGGCUAAGAUUGGCGUGCAUCUCUCAUUGAUCCUCAGGAAGACUUUACCUUCCAAGAAAAGAAGAGAUGCCUGGGAACGUCUUGCAGGAGAGAGAGGUCUUAAACUACUGUAGAUAGUGAUGUUGGUGGACUCACUUUGAUGCUGAAUUGAGAAAAACUAGUCUGAAAGUUUAAUUACAAGCUUGAAGUUUGAAGGUUUUAAGAGUUGUUAUGCUACUGAUAAGAAAUUCAGCCGUUAUGCAUUUGGAUACAGUACGCAGUUUUUGAUUGCAUCUGCAUGAGUUUUGCAGACAGAGACUCACAGGUCAACGCGUUUAUCCAGAUGGUGAACAUCAAGAUCCACAUGAGAAGUGCUAAUUGUUUUCCAGUGUGACGCUAUCAUCGUUGGUGAAUAUCUCCCAUCUGUCUGGAAGCAUAAGGAGGCUGCUGGAUCCAAACUCUCAGUGCUAAUGACUGGAUAUCAACAAGUUUUAGUGCAAUCCCAAAAACCAACAAGGACUUGACUUCUGAUGAACUUUUGGCCUGUGAUUGCUCUCGAUACUCAUUUUUCAGCUUGGGAACGAACUGCUGUUAUGAUCUUUAACACAGUACAAAAGAGACAAAAGCCUAUUCACAUGAAUAUGAAUGAAGUGGGGAAACCAGCAGUACAAACCUAUGCUUAUAUCUCUGAACAUGUAUAACAAAGUGAUUUGGAAUUCAUCAUAAUUCGUGUUAAUCUAUUACACAUUCAAGGCUGUGGAAAAAGUCUCCCAGAAGGCAUUAGCAGACUAGACGUUUAUGUACAUGAGACUCGAGUGGACUAACAAUCAGUAUGUCAUUUGUCAAUGUUUUUUCUUCUUUAUUUUUUUAGAGCUCAUAUUUCUCUAAUGGUGACAUUCUGUUCAGCAAUAUUCAUGAUAUUGUCUUAGAUAUUUGUUUAUACAACAACAAUACAACAAUAUAACAUCAUGCACUGUGCACAAAUAACAUAAGCUCAUAUUUUUGUACAAAACUCUACAGUUCACUGCUGUUUCCAGCUGGCAGUAAAACACCAAUCGCUUUUAUUCCUUCUGACACAAAUUAUGAUUACAGUGACAAAUUGUAAAUAAUAAAGAUGUAUUUUUGUGUGA